AUACCGACUCUUGAACGUUGCCGAGCAAUUGUAAUACAUGGACUAUGGUUAAUUUUUAUCAUGCCAUUGGAGUACAGGAUGAACUACCCAGCAAAUAGCUAUGGAAUUACUUCCAAUGCUUAUGUGUUCAAUAAUAUGUUAGGUUUCUAUUUACGCUCUGAAUAAGUUGCGUUUUUAAUUUGAAGUUUCUGAUUUCAGUCUGACGAGGGAGGUUGCCGAAUAGAAAGAACAGUGCUAAAACGCAUAUGUACUUUGAUUGGUCCUCUACUACUAUGGGCGUCAACCUUUGCAAAAGCUUAGCUAUGACAGGAUUUAUCGCAUAUGGGCUGUGCCAUUGAACAGCUGUUCAUAUAAAAGUUGGUAUUUUCAGAAUUAUUUUAUUGACAAUACAAAUGUUAAUAUCAUAUGUUGUCUGAGCCACCAGGCUGCUGAAGUGGAGGGACCUUUCCCAUUUAUCUUGAAUUCACCUUUUCGUACCGUUGUCAACGUUAUUCAAGAUGGCCCAGUGGUUCCAGCUGCAGCAGCUAGACUCCAAGUACCUGGAGCAGGUGGACCAGCUGUAUGAUGAUACUUUCCCUAUGGAGAUCCGCCAGUACCUCAGUGCCUGGAUAGAGAGCCAUGACUGGGACAUGGUGGCCACCAGCGAUUCUCUUGCAGCGGUCCGUUUCCAUGACCUCCUGGCCCAGUUGGAUGUUCAGUACAGCCGCUUCGCCCUGGAGAACAACUUCCUGUUGCAACACAAUAUACGCAAGAUUAAACGCAACCUGCAGGACCACUUCCAGGAAGACCCUUUGCAGAUGGCCAUGAUAAUCUGUAACUGUCUGAAAGAGGAGAAGAAGAUCCUGGCCUCCAUCAUCAAAAAAGAGGAUAAUGUGGGGUCCACACCAAACAACAUGGUGUUGGAGAAACAGAAGGAGCUGGACAACAACGUUAAAGACCUGAGGAACCGAGUUUAGGUUUCAGAGCAUGAGAUUAAGUCACUGGAGGACCUACAGGAUGAACACGACUUCAAGAAGAAGACACUGCAGAGCCGAGUGGAACAAGAGGUGAAUGGGAUGGCACAGUCACAGGCGGUAUGGAAAGAGAUCCGCGAAGAGGAGAUUGUAAUCAGAGAGAUGUUCAUCAAACUCAACAUAACCAGAGAGGUGGUGGUGAAUCAGAUUUCUGACAUCUUGUGCUUGGCCGAGCAGAUCCAGUUCAACCUGGUGACAGUGGAGGUACCUGAGUGGAAGCACAGACAGCAGAUAGCUUGCAUCGGUGGUCCGCCUAACGCCUGUUUGGACCAGCUACAAAUCUGGUUCACUGCUGUGGCAGAGGGUUUACAGCAGGUGCGUCAGUAGCUGAAGAUGCUCCAGGAGCUAGAACAGAAGUACACGUACGAGAAUGACCCCGUCACUCAGGGCAAAAGCGCUCUGGAGGAACGCGCUCUCGCCCUAUUCAAGUACCUCAUUGUCAAUUCUAUCGUGGUGGAGAGACAGCCCUGUAUGCCCACUCACCCUCAAAGACCCAUGGUGUUGAAGACUGGGGUGCAGUUCACUGUCAAAAUCAGACUCCUGGUGAAGCUCCAGGAGUUCAACUACCAGCUCAAAGUCAAAGCUGUGUUUGACAAGAACGUCACUGAGAAGAGCACAGUGAGAGGGGUCCGGAAAUUCAACAUCUUGGGAACCAACACUAAGGUUAUGAACAUGGAGGAGUCCAAUGGAAGCUUGGCAGCAGAAUUCAGACACCUGCAACUAAAGGAACAGAAAGUUACAGGCAACAGAUCAAAUGAGGGUCCUCUCAUAGUGACGGAGGAGCUCCACUCUAUUAGCUUUGAGACUCAACUCUGUCAGCCAGGACUCCAGGUCGAACUAGAGACAAUGUCCCUGCCCAUUGUGGUCAUCUCCAACAUUAGCCAGCUGCCCAGUGCCUGGGCCUCUGUCAUGUGGUACAACAUGCUGACCUGUGAGUCCAAGAAUCUGUCGUUCUUCCUGAGCCCUCCUCAGGCCACCUGGAGCCAGUUGUCAAACGUGCUGAGCUGGCAGUUCUCCUCCAUAACCAAGCGAGGCCUCAACGAUGAGCAGCUGAGCAUGCUGGGAGACAAGCUCCUGGGUGGAGAAGCAGCCGGAAACCCUAAUGGACUCAUCCCCUGGACCAAGUUCUGCAAGAAUGUGAAUGAGAAGAGCUUUCCCUUCUGGCUGUGGAUCGAGGGAAUACUGGACCUGAUCAAGAGACACCUGCUGUGUCUGUGGAAUGAUGGGUGUAUCAUUGGCUUUGUUAGUAAGGAGAGAGAGAAAGCCCUGCUGAAGGACAAGGAGCCUGGAACUUUCCUGCUGCGCUUCAGUGAGAGCAGCCGAGAGGGAGCCAUUACCUUCACCUGGGUGGAGGGCUCCAAUAAUGAUGUCCAUUUCCACGCGGUGGAGCCCUACACUAAGAAGGAGCUGGCCGCCAUCUCUUUUCCUGACAUCCUCCGCAACUACAAGGUGAUGGCUGCCGAGAACAUCCCUGAGAACCCUCUGCUCUACCUCUACCCCAACAUCCCCAAAGAGAGCGCCUUCACACGCUACUACAGCCGCCCCACAGAAGCUGCUGAGCCAAUGGAGUUGGGGAGUGCCUCUGGGGCUGACUACAUUAAGACGGAGCUCAUCUCUGUGUCUGAAGUCCACCCCUCCACACUACAGGACGCCAUGCUGCCCAUGAGUCCCGAAGUGUAUGGAGAGCUGACCAGGAUUAUUAACCCUGAUGAGAUUGAAAAUGUGAUGUGCACUCCCUUCCCAAACUAAUCUGCCCUCUUCAGGCGGUGCCCAGGAAAAUUGAUGUCCAAUUGGUAGUCUUGUCCCAUCGCUGCAACUCCUGUUCGAACUCGGGAGAGGCAAAGGUCAAGAGCCAUGCGUCCGCCGAAACAUGACCCUGCUUCUUGACACAUUCUUGACACAUUGCUCGAUUAACCCAGAAGCCAGCUGCACCAAUGUCUCGAAGGAAACACCGCACAACUGGCGACCACCACAGGAGUCGCUAGAGCGCGAUGGGACAAGGACAUCACGUCCCAACAUUUCUCCAAGUUUCACCAAGCCCUAGUUAUUUUGUUGCUUUGCUUUGACAAAGUCAUUUCUGAAGAUUAUUUUUUAUUUCAUGUGAGUAGUGAUUCAUUUGCAUCAGUCCCUCAUUUUAAGGUCAACCCUGUUACGUAAACUGAGCUCUCGUUUUAAUUUGGUGAAACUAUUCCUUUUGAAAUAUUGCUUUCAAAAGAAACAUUGAACAUCUAAUAGUCAAAUCACAGAGUAAACGCAGGAGCGCUGGAUCUACUCUUUUUUUUGUACAUUUUCUGGUGUUUUGUGGUGGAUAACUGUGUAGGUCGAGCGUAACAUGCCAACCCUGUUAACCAUAGAUAGGCAAGAAGUGUUUUAACAAUUACAUUUUUGGGGUGAAGCUUGCAUGCAAUUGCCACUCCCUGUAGCACACAACAAGCUGUCAUUUCCCCUGUCACAAGGGGAUUUAUGGCUGAUUUAGGAAAUCAUCAACCCUGUUACGGUCAACCCUGAUACUUUAUUUGGCACUGAUAGUUUUGAGAUGGGAAAACAUGUUUAUGAAGUUGAACAUGUGCUCUUUAUGACAGAAUGUGAAAAUGUGGUUAUAUCAAAUGUUUUCUUUGACCAAGUGUGACGGCCCCUCCCUGCUCUGGUUUAUGGGUUUUGCUGUGCUUACUUUCUGCAGGAGAUUGGUGGGUGGAGUAGGAGAGGUGGGCGGAGCUGGGAGGGUCGUCAGUGCUGAUUGGGGCACACAUGUGAAAGCUCAGCUGUGGCAUAAAGCCACUGCCCUCCCCCCCCCAUUCAGCAAGAGAUUCCUCUCUCCGUGCAUACCUUUGGUUGUGUUGUUGUGGCUUUGGCAGUUGACACCUAAUUUACUGACCUUCGUGCCUCAUCUGAUUAUUUUUGUGAGUGUUUAUUUAUGGUAUAAAUUAAUUUUGUUAUUCCUUUACUCAGUGUGUGGUUUCCCAUUAUUUGUUACAAUCUUGAGCCAGGUUGUAACAGGUUAUACAGAAUUUGUGGAAUGACCCUUAUAUGGAAAGUACUUCUAAACUGUACUCACGACUGCCUGGACUUCAUUGUUUCAAUUCAUUAAAAAUCUGAGCUCUCUCA